CUGUCAUCCAUCCAUCUGUGACACCGGAUGAUGAGAGCACCCAUUUCGUGGGCGUUUUCUGAGGACUAGAUGGGCCCGUUGUGAGGAUUAAUGGAGUCCGAAUAUGUGAUGUGCGCAGGACAGUGCCUGGCACACAGUGAGCACCCAGUGACGGCCGUCCCCUCCCACUCAUCAUCACCCUUUGGAGCUGCCUACCCCAGCGCCUGGCGCAUAGCAGGUGCUCAGUAAGACACUUGCUGGAGACUGAGUCUCAGCUGGGGAAACAACACUGGGUAGUAUCCAAAGUUGUGGAAGUGCCCAGGAGAAAGGGAAGGCUCCCAAGAGACUGUGCAGAGUUGACUGAGCACGUUGCCAAGCCCCUUGUUCCUGCAGCCCCCCAGUUAGGGGUGUGCGGCCCCCUCAGGGGAGACCCCCCUACGGGUUCAAUUUCCCUUUGCCAGUCGGUGUUUUCCAACAGCAGAUGGACAGAGGUGGUGGGGGCUGAACAAAAGGCUCUGAUUUUAGGAGCUGGAGCUGGGCAUUUGCAAGGAAGAAAGUGGCAGUACACGCCGCGGAAGGUGGGAAAUGGACACACCGGCCGUGAUUUUACACCUGACGCCAGAAGCGCUCCGCAAACAGGAGGCCUGCCACGCGUCACCGCCUCCUGGGCCACACCCCUGGAUGGACAGUGAUUACGGGGCGGACGGCACGUAUUAAGUGAGGUCGGGUCACAGCUCUCUAGCCCUUGUGACUGUCACCUUUGCACACUUGGAGUGACUCUUCACUUGGUCUCAUGGCAAUCUGACAGCACACUCAGGUCUGGAAAACAGGGAGAAAGAAGUUGUUUCAUGCGUUUCUAAAGGAAGCACUGAAGAACUUAGAGCUUCUGUGGAUUUUCAAAUGUCACUCAAAGGUCUGAUGCCCCCCAGGCUGUGCUUGGCUGUGGGAAUGGCUGGGGGAGAGACUGUAAUCCCUCAACCCAAUUCUUUCAUUAUUAUUUACCUUCUAUGUCCUCUCUUUCAAGAAUAUUUUUUUGACAUUUGCCUUCUGGCAGAGCUGGGACCAGUGAGUGGGAGUUGCAGGGAGGUGGACUUGGCUGAACAUAAGGAAGAAUGUUCUUAGUCAGAGCGGUCCAAAAAUGGAAUGGCCUGACUCAGAAGACAGUGUGUCCUCAGCCUGGACGAGGUCCUGGUGAGGUCCCUUCAGGGGAGCUCUGCCCGGUGCCCUGAUCCGUGUGCGCAGAAACCAACGAGAGGCAUCCGCUCUGAGCACCUACUAUGCGCCAGCUCCAUUUCUAGCACUUCCAGGUGGACUUGACUCAUUUCCUGUUCAAACGGCACCAUGAGAUGGGUCCAGUUAUCUAUCACCUGUUAUGUUCUCCAUUUCACAGAUGAAGAAACUGAGACACACAGAGGCUUAGUGACCUGCCCAAGCCGAUGCGGCUGGGAAGUGAGAGAGGCAGGCUGCAGGAGUCAGCUGCCUGACUCCCCUGCUUAUACCUCAGGGGGGUGUCCAGGAAGGGGCUCCAUGCUCCAGCUUGGUGACCAGCUGCUGUGUGCUGAAAGGAGUUUGCAAGGCAGUUGACUCAGCAUAAAACACCCCGGUGGAGGUCAGGAGGGCUGCUACGUUGCAGAGGCAAGGCCCCAUCAGUCAACAGGUAACCCGGGGCUGGGUUUGCUCAGGGCAGAGGGCAAGGGAAACAUGCCACGUCAGGGUCCACACCCCCAGCCUUAGCAUCCACGUAGCUCUGCCCCCUUGGGGACAGGGUCUGUAAACUGGCUCCUUGCCUGUUCCUUCCAGCCUACCCUCCAGUUUCAGGAGUCCAGCCCAGACUUCUCCCUAAGGCCGAGUGCUUGCCUUGGUCACCUGUCCAGGACAGCUUCUCUGAUAAUGCUUUAGGGGAAGUGGCAAGAGGGCAAGUCUUUGGAAUCUGGGCUUCAAGCCUGACCUCCCACCAUUGGGAGAAGUUGCUUCUACUUCUGACCUGCAUUUUUCUGUGGAUGCCUGUUUCAUAAGACUGUGGGGAAGAUCACAAUGUGCUAACUCGCAAAAUCACAGACCGUGGCUGACCGACCUUUUCCAUCCACAGACCGAGGGUCCCCUCCUGAGAGUGGCCUUCUGGCAUCCCGCCGGCAAGGGUGUUUCUAUAAAAAAACACAGUGCAGCAAAGUCCAAGGAAGAAUGUGCUUAUGUUCGCCCUGCGGUGGGAAUCGUGAGCACGGCUGAUGCCCUUAGGCUGCAAUUGCGUUGAGCUAGGUGAUUCCUCUGAACAAUGCUCUGAGUCAGAAAACUUUGGUACUGCUCAAUUCCAGGACCUGUGGUUGGUAAAAUGAGAAACGGCUAGAAUAUCCCUAAAACUCCUUCUAGCUGUAAAACGUUCUGAUUCAUGAUCAAAGGAAGGAGGAGACUGUACGUAAUAAAAUAAAAAGAAUUUCUCA